rnacentral:lncRNA from 1 species
AGACUCGGGGCCCCGCGCGCUUGCGCGCCGCCCGCUGCCCGCCGCCCGCCGCGGCUGGGAGUCCGGAGGUUUCAUCUUGUGAUGGUUUCGGUUCGGCUCUCAAAUGGAGGAUGGCUACGUUGAAGACAGCUGGGGCUGCCGCACGCCUCGGGGUUACUGUCGGGCACCCGGCGGGCGGGGCCGGCGCUGGGGCGGGGGAGGGCUUCCUCGCCCUCAGAAACCACAUUCGCAGAAACGUUUUUAACUGGCAAGGUUUCGAGUUCCCAACCACAGCACCCUCAGUGAUGGUUUUCAGAAGACCUUGUUAGCUCCUCUCCUCCAGAGACCCAUCCUUCGCUGACAUCCCACCGAUUUGGGAGCAGGAAAAAACAGACUCCUGCAAAAUACCUCUUCUUCCAGUGCCCUGUACCCCUCUCUACUUACUUCGAGUCCCUGCAGUCCAGCAACAACCCCAAACGAGUGAAGGGAGGAGACAUAGGUUUGUCCAGGCUCUGCCACCGACGGGUGAUUUGGGAUGAGUCCUUCUCCAGUAUCAUUAUCUUCAACUGUAAAACAUGAGGGUUAGUCCGAAUGAUCUCCAAACGCUUCAGCAUUAAAGAUACAGUGAGAAGGUACCAUCUAUGAAUCAGAAAGUGGGCCCUCAUCUGAACAUGACCAUGCUGGCACCACGAUCUUGGACUUCUCAGCCCCCAGAACUUUCAACUUGGAGCACCCGCUAUAUGCCCCACGCUGUGACAGACUCUCAGGGGACACCAAGGGAAGUAAGGCCCAGCUCCCGCCUCAAAGAGCUGACCAUCAACUGGCGGGGAUUAGACAAUGAGAGAAGUCCAAGCUAAAGAAAGUACCACAGGAGAAACACCAGGCGCUUGAGGUUUCAAAGGAGGGAAAGGAUAUAUCAGGUUGGAGAUACUAACAAAAGACUUUAUUCAUUCA